AUGUACAUGUAUACAACAUUAAUGCAUUGGAUCCCAUUAGAGCUUUUCACUUAAGCAUGACUGGGAUAAAGUAGUAGUGGGAUGGGUGACCUCCUGAGAAAUCCUAGUGUUUUUACAUG
rfam:Picea glauca, whole genome shotgun sequence.